AGCACCUGCCACAUCGUCCACCGGGCGCACUUAUCAGACAGCGUGGGCUGCCGGGGAGCUGGCUUUAGCUGAGUCCGCGGAGCGCGCCCGGCCCCUCCUCCAAAGGGUGAAGCGGUAAAAAGCCCAUGCCCCACGCACCCCGACCCUGAAGCCUCACUCGCUCCUCUCAGAGCUCCAGGAGCGCGGGGCCGCGACUUCCGGCCUGGACGGAAGUGCGUCAGGCACCCGCCUCACUACAAUUCCCAGGAGCCUCCACGCCGCGGACUUCCGGCCCCGCCAUGUUGAGGGUUUGGGUUAGCCUGAGGCCCUUGGCAGGAUGGUGGCUGCUCGGCCAGUGGUGGGGCUUUCGCCUCUGGCCUCCACUCGCGUUCUCUCCCGGCCUCCCCGGCGACGGUGGACGCGUCCUGGGGCGACGCCGACGCAGCCUCCGCACACACCUAUCCGAGCUGCAGGUCUUCCCCGUUGGGUGACGCGGGGUGAGGGGAGCGCGGCCGCUUUCCCCGAGAGCAACGACCACCCGGAUUCCCCACCCACUUUCCUCCCCCGCCCCCACAUUCUUCCCCUGUCUCCUUACGGCUUUGUCUUCCCUUCUCGGAAAUUCCUGACCGCACACUUCGGGUCGGCGGCGGCCUCCACGGACCUCACGGGCGUCGCCCGUUGCUGGCGCGCUAUCCGAAACAGCACUGCCCAGUGGAACUUUCUUUGGUGAAGGAAAUGUUCUAGAUCUGCAGUGUCCAACACAGUAGCCAUUAGCUGCAGGUGACCAGUGAACAUUUGAAAGAUGGCCAGUGCGACUAAGGAACUGACUGGACACAAGAGACCUUCCACAAAUAUUUGUGAAGUAAAGGGGAAGCAGUGGAAGAAAAAAAAAUCACAUAAAGGACUCUUUGUGACACAGCAGAAACGUGUUAAGCACCUAUCACCUCAGGCCUAGCCUGCAAUUGUCCUGGUAAGCCUCCCUGCACAAGGUCUCUCGUUCUGGAGCACCACCCCUGAAUCUCCUGUCACCUGUCAAGCCAGCUCCCCUGAGAUGUGCAGAACCAUAGGCGCCCAAUGCCCCCCGACAGCAGCUAGAUUUAGGAAACUACUAGACCAUCCAGAAUUGCAUGCCUGGGAGGUUUGCCCACAUGGGACUUAAGUUCCAGAGAGGAUGAGACACAGACCUAAGCCAGAGCCACAAAGACGGGAAGAGACCUUAGGAGGCUGGAUCAACCGGGGGGAAAGAAACCAUGUUGGGUGAAUACAAAGUGCUUGUGUUGCUGGGGACCUUCCAGGUAAGGUUUGGUUUAGUGACCUGUGCUCAUGGUUAGAAGGGAGGUUUUCACUGUAGAGAGUGAAAGGAAUGACGUGAAUAUGGAAAAGAAAAAAUAUUAAUGUUGAGCCAUCAGGCUAACAAAGGAGUCCGGGAAAGGGGGACAAAGAGUCAGUGAAGACUCUAGUCUAUGUUGUGGCAAACAGAAGGUCAUCACCAAAGAUGGGGCCAGGUGCAGGCUUCACAGCUGAAGACUGCCAGGUUGCUCCGAAGCCACUUUCAUGAGAGCAGAGA